CUAAACGACUCUCGGCAACGGAUAUCUCGGCUCUCGCAUCGAUGAAGAACGUAGCGAAAUGCGAUACUUGGUGUGAAUUGCAGAAUCCCGUGAACCAUCGAGUCUUUGAACGCAAGUUGCGCCCGAAGCCUUCUGGCCGAGGGCACGCCUGCCUGGGCGUCACGCAUCGCGUCGCCCCCCUCCAACGUCCCUAGGGACUCGC
rnacentral:rRNA from 1 species